UACGGGGGGGGCAAGCGUUGUUCGGAAUUACUGGGCGUAAAGGGCUCGUAGGCGGCCAACUAAGUCGGACGUGAAAUCCCCAGGCUCAACCUGGGAACUGCGUCCGAUACUGGAUGGCUUGAAUUCGGGAGAGGGAUGCAGAAUUCCAGGUGUAGCGGUGAAAUGCGUAGAUAUCUGGAGGAAUACCGGUGGCGAAGGCGGCAUCCUGGACCGACAUUGACGCUGAUGAGCGAAAGCUAGGGGAGCAAACGGGG
rnacentral:rRNA from 1 species